AUGGCAACUAAAUCUUCUAGAUUCAUGGUAAAUAGUAUAUAUUUGCUAUUUUUUUCCAGCUCUGAAUCACUCUAUAGCUUGAGUAGAAUGGCAUGCAGUCCCCCUUGGUGGGGAUCAAGAAGGACACACAUUCUAAAGCUGCAGGCCAAGAGGGAGCCUAGAAGAGAAGAUUGCUAGAACCAAUUCAGGUAAGAAAAUUUCUGAGGUCUAAGACUAAUUGUAGAGAAAAUAGUAUUUUUAAAGUGGGUUAUAUUGUAUCCUUGAAAAUACAGUAAAACUCAUUUUGUUUACCAUAGUUUUCUUUCUCCUUUGGUAGAUAUGUUAAAGAUUUUAGAUUUUUAUUUCCUAGCAUAAUUGGAAGGUUCUGACUGAUUUAUUAUUAUUAUUAUUUUACGUGCUUUUUGUUCUGAUUUAAAGUUUUUCAGAAACUAAAACUUUCUAUUAAAUGUUGCUGUUUUUUUAAAAUUUGAUUGAAACUGCCUUAGUUAAUAUUUAAAUAUCCUUUAUUUUAUAUUCAACUCCUAAUUCUGUGCUCAAUAAAGUAAAAAUAAUAAGAAUUUUGUAUUGAUGU
rnacentral:lncRNA from 1 species